GACGAACGCUGGCGGCGCGCUUAACACAUGCAAGUCGAACGGAAAGGCCUGCUUUCCCUUGUGGAUUGCGGGUACUCGAGUGGCGAACGGGUGAGUAACACGUGAGUGAUCUGCCCCCAACUUGGGUAUAAGCCUGGGAAACUGGGUCUAAUUCCCGAUAGGACUGCAGGGUGUGCCCGGUGGUGGAAAACAAUUUUCUGGUGGUUGGGGUUGAGCUCGCGGCCUAUCAGCUUGUUGGUGGGGUAUUGGCCUACCAAGGCGGCGACGGGUAGCCGGCCUGAGAGGGUGGACGGCCACAUUGGGACUGAGAUACGGCCCAGACUCCUACGGGAGGCAGCAGUGGGGAAUAUUGCACAAUGGGCGGAAGCCUGAUGCAGCGACGCCGCGUGGGGGAUGACGGCCUUCGGGUUGUAAACUCCUUUCGACCGCGAGGAAGCCACCUGGUUGGAAGGGUGGUGACGGUAGUGGUAGAAGAAGCACCGGCUAACUACGUG
rnacentral:rRNA from 1 species